UGGGGCAGCUGGGGGCUCUCGCGGAGGCACGCACGCGCCCAACCGCCGCCCGUUUUGGGGGCGGGAACGCAGCGCCCCUUUCCCUGCGGGGAGCCCGCGCUCCAGCCCCCGGGGUGGGGGCUCCUCACGGUCCUUCCUCGGAACCGUGGGGCGGGGAGACAGCGACGGAGGCGCUCCAGCCGCACCGGGGUUAAGAUCCCCAGACACGCGCCGGCCGGGUCUCCGCCCCUCCUUUCCCGCGCGGUGUCUGCUGAGGAGCCGCGGAGAGAAGCGGGCUGACCCUGAGAGGUGCUGCCAUCCCGCAGGACCCGGGGCGCGAGGCUGGGUGAGGCCUCGCUGCAGGCCGCAGCUCCUGACCAGGGGGCGGCUGGCGUGUGUUCCCCCCCACACACUGGGGUUGUCCCACGCGGUUCUUCGCCUCCGCUGGCCGCACCUGCGCCCUGGCCACCGCUCCGUCUGUCACCAGUUGGGCGCGCUAGUACUACCUUCUGGAGAGGCUGCGGCGCAUCCUCUAUGCCGGUCCUCCUCCCCAUGAGCCCAUUAUCCCGUGGUUUCCCUAGGUAGGCGCAGAAACUUUCUGACUGGCAGCAAAAGACUAGCCCCAGUUUAGCAGAGCUCCACGGGAAACGCCUGAGCAAAUGCGAAUUCGGUCAGGCUGUCCCCCAAUCCUUUCUACAACUGGAGUCCCUGAAUACUCAGCCGGCAGAGUGCCGGGACCACCCAUGCGGAUGUUUUCAGCCAUCUCUUUCCUCUUCGGGCUUUGUAUCCUACGACAGUCUCCCGCCAUGCUUCUUCACCUCGGUUCUCUAAACAUCAAAGGUCAAGAGGAGGGUUUCCAGCCCUGGAGCCCGCGAAAGGGUGGGCCCUUGCGGUUCACGCGCGGAAACAGCGAUAGGGACACCCAAGGCCCAGGAAGGCUGGGGACAAAGCAGAUCCUCCCAGACCCCAACACCACCCCGGCGUAGGCGCAGACCCCGAGGGUUCCCCGGGGCCCGGGGCUGACCGCGCGGGCGCCAGCCCGAUUGGCAGAGCGUCGCCGAGAGGUUUCCACAGGGACGCUCCCGCCCGAAUGCCUCCCUGGGAUUGGCUCAUUUCUUGGUUCAGACCUGGACGGUGGCCAGAGGAGGACAAGAGGCUUUCACAACGAACGGAGGUGAGGCGGGCGACGGAGACGCAGCCGCACUUCAACUAGCGGCCGGGCCCCGGGGACGUGGCGGCGGCCUCUCCAGCGUCAGUGCUGCUGGCGGCGGCGAGAAACCGGUGGCGUCACUGCCUGAGUCCGCUGCUGUUGCCAAGAAUCUCACUUCAUCACCCAGGCUGGAGUGAAUUGGCACUAUCUGAGAUCACUGCAAUCUCCGCCUCUCGGGUUCAGUUUCCACCUCUAGUCUCGUGCCACAGCCUCCCGACUAGUAGCUGGGAGUACAGGCAUGAGCCACCACGCCCAGCUAAUUUUUGUGUUUUCGGUAGAGACCCAGUUCCACCUUGUCAGCCAGUUUGGCUGGUCUCAAACUUCUGACCUCAAGUGAUCUGCCUGCCUUGGCCUUCCAAAGUGCUGGGAUUACAGGCAUGAGCCACUGCGCCCAGCCAGUCAUUGUCUCUUUUAAAGAUUGUGUUGCUUUCUGCCUCAAUACUAAUCAACAUGUUGGAAGUUAUCAAGAAGUUCCUGACAGAUGUAUUUCUAAUUCUGGUGAAGAAAGAAGAAUUGGCCCUUGAUAGGAUCAAUGUUUUACAAUAAUUGUGAAAGAUGGUAGUGAGAGAAGAAGAAAACAUGGAGGGAAUUCAGAUAAAGGACAAACCCCUGACUACUACUGACUUAUUGGGACAAGCAUGAGGGCUAUGAUGUCCAACUUUCUGUACCCACUGGAAGCUUCUACUGCCAGAUGUGGAGGAACCGGAUUCAUGUUUGAAGGGAGACUUCCAAUUGUCUUACACAUCAGAGGCCACCCCCUUUCCCUCUACCUGGUUUACCUUUCCUAAAGACUUUGUAACCAGGAAGUCGCAUACUCUCUAUCCAGGCAGAUGAGUAGAGAUGGUUUGACGUGGGUUUCAAGGCAGCAUUUCAUGCAGGAAUAGGUAGCAAAGCAAGUAUCUGAACACACGGAAAGAAAAGGAAGAUCCCCAGGUGCCGGGAUACAAACAUGGAAGUGAAAAGCAGGGUGACGGGUAAGCAGGCAGGCCGAGGGCAGGGAGCUUGGGGAUGGGGGCCAGGCCUGGGUUCGUCCCUAACACUGAGUCUUCAAGCAUGGCCACCUGCAGGGUGGGAAAAUGAGGCACGGGCCUCCGGAGGGCCAGGAGAGAACUGGGAUCCUGUAUGAAGGCUGCACAUCCAGUGAAAAGGAGGCUGGUGUAGGAGGUGCCACACACCAGCAGGGAGCAGCAGGUGCACUGGGAGGUGCCAAGACAAGCUGGGCAGAUGCCUGGUCCCAGCCAAACUGCCCAGACAUGACAUUAUCACUUAGACCCAGUGGGGUAAUUGGAAGGCUCAGCAGCAAAGUUAAGGUCAGAAUUCCGCUGGACUCACAGCUGGUGCUCUGGCAGUCAGAUCCGGAGCCCAAGAUCACCCCAGAAUACCCCCCAACCAGUGAGGGAGCUGGGCCUGUGCUUCCCAAGGUUUCCACCAAGAACUCUUAAGGCAGAACAGCUACCUCUGGGGAGGCCCAGAGGGAAAGGUCUGAAGCUAUUCCUGGAACCCCAGAUUUCUUUAAAACCUCAAUUUUCCUUUUCGGAUACAUAGGACUCUUGCAUUGCAACCAAAGCAAACUAAAUUGAUGACAAGGUUUCCAGUGGUCAGAGGGAAGUCUCAUACCCCAAGUUACGUGUGUCCCAAUUUGAGAAGCACAGACGAGGGAGGGCUUCAGAGACAACACAGGAGCCAUGGUGGAGGUGAGCUGAGAGGCAGACCCAAGAUCAAAAGCCUAGAUGGGGUCUCCAGUAAGAAGAGGUGAGGCCGGACAAGAGGAGAGUCACACAGUUUGCAUAUAGGUUGGUGAAAGCUUGCUCAGCCAGGCAAUGCAUCGUUAGGGAGGGAAACGCUGUCUACUCUGUGACAUUUUAGAAAUCAAGCCUGGUGAAUGUUAACCUAUGAACUUACCUAAAACCCCUUGAACCGACUGAACUGAUUUAAAUUUCUGUUCUCUAAAUUAAUUUUUAUUCAGACACGACUUAUUUAUAUACACCAAAAACAGCAAAAAAAAAAAAAAUCACCUUGUGAUUGUAUAGAGCACAUUUUCAGCCAUUCUGUGCAUAUUUUAUUGAAUAAAUAAAAACUUUAUUGGGUUGGUUUUUAAAACCUAUAAACAAUAUAGUUUCUUCUUUGAUCACCUAAAAUACACAACUUUAUGUAACUUUAUGUAACCAAAAUGCUUAAAGGAUUUUGUUCACUGAGUGUUGACUAUUUAUGCCGCUACAUAUGAAAAUCUGACCUGUCAAAACUGGUUUUGCAGUAGCCAUAUUUGGAUAUGUGUGGAUUUCUAUAAAGAUUGACUCUUAAAAUUACGAGAUGUAAUAUAACACCUAGAUACCAAGGGAAAAAAUGAGUUUGCAAACCCACGUUGGGACUUACACAAGAAAUCCCUGUGGUGUUUACAAAGUUUAAAAUUCUAUUGAGUACAUUUAUUUUUCAAAAUAAAACAGGCUAAGUAAAUAACAACAGUACCUCAACAACUUCUAUAAACAGCUAAGCUAUACUUUACAGCUAUAAGAACAUGAUAUUUGUAUUUCCCUGAGUGCAUAGUUUGCUUUGAGUUCAAGGGCAUGGUGUAUGUGUGUGUUUCCUGAAGCCACUGAGAUCAGAAUAGAUGAAAGCUAAGAACAUGAACCUGUUGGUGUUGUGAUGAGCUUAGCUCCCUGCUGUUUUAGAUUAGCCUUGGCAACCAGGGUCCCUUCACCUCAUCUACAGAUUCUGCUCCACCACAACUCUGGGCCACCUUCUCUCUAGGACAGGAGACCCAGCUGAGCAGCUCAGAGGCCCCACAGCAAGUGGGCCCAAAUGCUGAGCCUGCUCCAACUUGUGCCUCUGCUCUAAAAAGUGGAUUCCUUCCUUAUUUCCUUGCCUGGAAUUCUCCCUUACCCUUCUUGGGACUAGAGUCAAGUUCACAAACUCCAGGGCCCCUCAUAUCAUCCUUGGAACCUGACCUCCUCCUACCCCAUCUGUGUCUUCCCAGCCUGGGGCGCUCGAUCCACUCCUAGGAUCUGCCUUAUCCAGCCUGCUGUGCUGGAACACCCUGCCACGUCCUGCCCGAGUCUGAGGGCUCUCUGUCUCUGGGUUAAUUCCCAGCUUGGCUUUCCCCCAACUGACGGUGUGGGUGAUAACAGUUACCUUCCUGCAAAUGUGUUUGUCUUUAUUUCUUGGAAUGGAUUUCAGAUUUUAGAAGCUCUCAUCCCUGGCAAGUGCCUAGAAACCAAAACCCUGAUGACUAUACUUAAGUUUCCCCCAAAUGACUUGAACUUACUUUCUCUAAGAGCUACAGACUGGCUUUGAGUUCAAGGGCAGCUUCAAGUACAGAACCCUGUAAAUAGGUGUGUCUGUUCCCUACCCCAUGCCAUCAUUAGGAAUCCCUAUUGCUUGGUGCCAGCUACAUGAAAUUUUCCGCAAUUCACCUGCAUAUCUGGUGCCAUAAGAAAUCAUAAAAACUGCUUCCAUGAUUCAUGUAGGUAUUCUGAAGUAGUCCAAAAACUUGGGUCCUACAUUUACAAUCAGGUUUAGAGCACAGAAAUUCCAAAUCCUCACUUUCCCAGUAUAGGAGUGACCUGAACUGACCUAACUCAGUAUAGGGUUGACCUGUUGAUGGGCUCGAAGUUUGCCAAUCGGUCUUAUCGAAGGCCUGCCAGCCGCUCCCUGACAAGGAGCGCGCUCUUUUUGAGGGGAGGCUCGCUGUGUGUGCCAAUACCGCCAUCUCCAGAAGUUCCUCCCUGCAGUAGUGUUUGGAGCAACACUGAUUUUUUUCCUGUAGUUCACAAAUGGUUCUGGUGGCGACCUUGGAAAGACAAACAUGUAAGCAGUGGCCACUGGUUGACUUUCCUGCACUGCUUACCACCUUGACCCUUUGAGGCAAUCGAGACUUGGAUCCAGCCUCAUAACUUCAUAUGACCUAAUUUUAGCUAACUUGAAGAAAAGAAAAACAAGAAUAUAACUAGUGGCCUAUUUUUCCGUAUUAGUGACUAGCAUGGAGAUUUGAUAUUCACUGGUGUCCUCAAGGCUUGAAAAACAUGAAGAACUCCAUGAAUGUUUGCUGAACUGACCUAGAUGACAUUGCUUGCAUUGGCAGCUGUGAUGGUUAUUACAGUGCUCAUGAGUAAGUGAUAGUUUGUCCUAAAUUUCCACAAGUAUGCUUAUAUUGCUCUGUCUUACUUUUCACAGCAGAGAGCUGAACUGUCAUGCCUUUAAGGCAAGAGCCUUUCACACACCAAUACACAUUUAUAUUUAUCUUCAACAAUCUGGCAUAAACAGAAAUCUCACCUCUAAGUUUCCAGGGGUUUAAAAUCUGUUUCAGAUACUAGCUUCUAACCGUGACUUUUUAAUGAAAAUUAAAUUCACUGUCAACUCCAAUACUCUAACUUCCCAAACUGCUGAGAGGAUCAGGCCGCUCUGGCUAUGAAAUAAACUCUAUAAAGAGAACUGAAAUCAUAGGUGAAAAUAAAGUCCACUGGGUAAUGCAGGCACUAUGUCGCUAUCAUUGUUGCUUUUUAAAUACAGCAUAUGAAACAGGAUCUCUUAACUUGUUUCUCCAGCUUGGGGAUUAGAAGGAAUUUCCAGUGAGCUCAUUUCAGAGCUCUAACUCUUACAGUGAAGGACAGAUUCUGUUCUUUUAAGUCACAGCUGAGCUACACUAAUUAAAAAACCAAGUAGAAGUGCUUUUUAAAAAGUCCUGAAAACUAAGGUUUCAGGAGGAUGGGGUAUCAGGACACGGGUCUCAAUCACUGUCUAAAAACCAGCAAGUUCAUCCGUCAUUCCUGCGGAGGCCAGCUGUGUUCAGGUGUGUACUUUUUACAUAACACAGUAGUUUGAGUCUCUAAAACAUGUUUGCUACAUUACAGUAUGACUGGUGGACGCUAAGAGGCCAGGGCACCAGACCAUGCUAAAGGGACAAUUCUGUCUGGCAAUGACAGUUCUGGUCCAAAAUGGGCCAUCUUAUGAUUAUUAAAAGAAAAAAAAGGCCAGCCGCAGUGGGUCACGCCUGUAAUCCCAGCACUUUGGGAGGCUGAGGUGGGUGGAUCACGAGGUCAGGAGUUCAAGACCAGCCUGGCCAAGAUGGUGAAACACUGUCUCUACUAAAACUACAAAAAUUAGCUGGGCAUGGUAGCAGGUGUCUGUAAUCCCAGCUACUCGGGAGGCUGAGGCAGAAGAAUCACUUGAACCCGGGAGGUGGAGGUUGUAGUGAGCCAAGAUCAUGCUACUUCACUCCAGCCUGGGUGACAGAGUGAAAGGCUUUCAAUGGGAGGAGGAUGGAACACAAGUAUUUCAUCUCUUUCAAAGCAAACAGGCCUUCCCAAGCCCAUCCCCCCAGACCUUUCAAGUGGAAGAACCUAUGAGAUGUUCUUCACAAGGAGCCCAAAUGACUCCUUGGUUUAAAUUUUGGUAAAGGAGGGGGAUGAGGGGGGAUGCAGAAUAAGAAAAGGAAAGAAAACAGGAAACGCCUUUAUUUCCCUGCCUUGCUGAGUGAAUCUUUAGCAGACUCGCUGAAGCAAGAAAUGAGCCAGAUUUUUUGUUUUUGUUUUUGAGACAAGAGUUUCACUUUUGUCACCCAGGCUGCAGUGCAGUGGGCCAAUCUUGGCUUACUGCAACCUCCACCUCCCAAGUUCAAGUGAUCCUCCUGCCUCAGCCUCCCAAGUAGCUGGGAAUACAGGUGCCUGCCACUGCACCUGGCUAAUUUUUCUAUCUUUAGUAGAGAUGGGGGCGGGAUCAUCAUGUUGACCAGGCUGGUCAGGUGAUUCCCCCCAAGUUAGCCUCUGAAAGUGCUGGGAUUACAGGCGUGAGUCACCGCGCCCAGGAUGAACCAGGUUUGGUUUUUGGUAUUUGGUUUUUCCUGCUCUGAGAUAGGCAGCAUGGUGGAAAGGGCAUUGACUCCGAAGCUGAAAGACCUGGGUUUUAGACUCCUGGGGUAGGUACUUGUACUUGCUGAGUGACCAGAGGACACUACUUAGCCUCUGUGAACUCGGAUCCCUCACUGAGGGAACCAGAAGUGAUAAAAGCCAGCCACCAGGCUGAAUGAACUGAUACAAGGAAGCGCCUCGCACAGAGCUGGCACAGGGUAGGUGGGUCCUGAGAUGUAAUUACUCUUCCUCGCCUCCCCUUCUGAGGUAGGUCAUGCAAACAUUUCUGGCUGGUCUCAAGUAUCCCCAGACUGCAACUUCCAAGAUUCCCCCAAAGUGAGCCCCUGACGUACAGCCUCCAACUAGAGGCUGCUGCCUGAAGUGGGGCUGGAGGAGGGUAAGAGGUGAAGCGGGCACACUGAGGGUCUGAGCAGCUCCCCAGCUCCCCAUUCUGCGCUCAGACAGACACCGCUCCAGGCACAAUCCUGCGGAUGUGGGUGUACGACUUCCUGAUGGUGACGCUGCCAUGGUGCGACACACCCCGGGGCAGGACGCACUCCUCUGUCAGUCUCUGGGUCUCGGGGUCCCAGCAUAGCACGGUGGCGAUGACCUCGUUCUUCUCGUCCCUCCCACCAGUGAUGUAGAGCCGGUUGUUACAGGGCGCGAUGCCGCAGCUGGCCCGCUCGUGGCUGAGCUGGGUCACCAGGCACCAGCUGUCUUCCAGGGGGCUGUAGGCAUACAGCGCUCUCAUGGCUCCACCUGAGGACAGGGAGGGAAGAGGUGGACAUCCCUCCAGUUUCUGCCUUCUUCGCUCUUAACCACUAAAACUCAGCUCUGGUUAGGCCAUGUCUACCCUCUUCCCAAUAGAAACAGUAGAUUAAUGGCUCCUCUGAAAACCAGAGUGGGUCCCAGGGGCAGUGAGUGGCCAGCGCUGGAGACACACCCUUUCUGUGCUGCAGCCAGGCACGAAUCCAGCUCUAAGCUAUUCAGAUAAAGAAGAAGCCCUUACUCACCAACAACAUAGAUGCGGUCCCGGAAACUCACUGCAUUGAUGCAUUUCGCCUCCACUGGCAUGGCCGCCUUCAGAUUCCACUUGUUGGUUGAAGGGUCAUAACACUGAGUCUUGUCUGUGGCCAGUUUCCCAUUGGGCCCUCCCCCAAUCACGUAGAGCUUCUUCUUAUGGCUGGUGGCUGCAAAGGAGCUGACGUGGACAAGGAGGGGCGCGGCCUGUGGAGGCACAAGGCACAAGAAGCAGCUGUCAGUCAUGAUGCCCAGGUUGCUGCAGUAGCUCCCAGGGUGCAGGACGGAGCUCCAGGACACAGAACUGGGCAGCUUUUGCCUAAAGUCACAAGGCGCCUGUGCUUCACUCCUCUUAAGACUCAGCGAGAAUGAAAGCAUGUAUUUCCCACCCUCCCUGCAGGCUCCACACAAUCUAGAGCAAGCUGUGUGCUGGCAUGUGCCAGCCUCUCCCAGAGUCCAGCUCUCAGGGAAGGAAGAGGAUAGGCAAGAAUAAGUUUAUACAGAUGAAGUCAGCCAAUGUUGGAGGAAAAUUAUUAUUAUUAUUAUUAUUAUUAUUUUGGAGACAGAGUUUAGCUCUUGUUGCCCAGGCUGGAGUGCAAUGGGGCAAUCUCAGCUCACUGUAACCUUCACCUCCUGGGUUCAAGCGAUUCUCCUGCCUCAGCCUACCAGGUAGCUGGGACUACAGGCAUGAGCCACCACGCCUGGCUAAUUUCGUAUUUUUAGUAGAGACGAGGUUUCUCCAUGUUGAUCAGGCUGGAGUCUAACUCCCGAUCUCAGGUGAUCCGGCUGCCUUGGCUUCCCAAAGUGUCAGGAUUACAGGUGUGAGCCACCACGCCCAGCCCAGGAAAAUGAUUUUUUUAUACAUGCAUGUUCAUAUUAAUUCAUGUGCUUGUCCACUCAAAAAAUAUUUAUGGAGUGCCUACUGUGUACCAGCAUUGAUUUUCCUUGAUGCUUAUGUCUAGGAAGAAAAGCUGGUAUAUGGGUUUAAGGUGGCCACAGGUAAGCGGGCUCUUCCACUAUAGGGCAACACUGAAGCUUUUGAGAUUAAGUCAGACAUGUGCUUCUACCCUGGGAACCCCUGGACACUAAAGGAGCGUCUUGCCCAGUUACAUGACACUUUGCAUCAUGGAGCAGCUCUGGGAUAGGACUUGUUUUGAGGAGAUCUUGGGCAGGUCCCCUGUAAGUGCUAAGAGCUAUCCAUAUAGCACUUUUCAGGCUGACAGUCUUGGCUAGAUGAUGUGGUGACUUGGCUGCCUCUGCUUGUGCCUGCAAUGAUGGGGUUGUACUCUCCAUUAAGCUGGGACAUGCUCGGACAUCUGAUUUGAUAAGGAGAAAGAAAAUUGGAAACUGGGAAUAACCUGGAAAUGAGAUCAGGUAGCUUUUCUUUUCCUGGUGUGAUAUAUACCUGAGGUUGUGCUGCUAAAGUCUGACAUGCAGGCCUGCAAGUGGCUCUUCAUGGAUGAGAAAAUAAUGAGGGGAUGAUUUCUAACAUGACAGAAUAACUCUGGGUUCACAAAUAGUGUAGUAAAGUGAUCUGCACGUGUCCAGUGUAGAGAAGAAUAGGAGAGAAGGCAUCUGAGGAGAAAGGACCCUAGGCCAGGACAUGGAGACCAAGAGAGCUGCCAUGCACAACAGUGUAAGCCUCUGCCCACAUCUGGGGCUCUGGCCGGAUUAGGACAGGUGCCCACACAGACCUUCACCACCUGGAAGACAUUGUUUCUGUGACUUAAUCAGCAAAAAGUAUGGGGGAGGGAAGCUCAGAGCCACCAGAAAUGUUCUCCUCGGAAGUAAUGUGAUCAGAAAGCUGGCUACCACUGUGGGUACAUUCCCAAGCUUUUUUAGAAAAAAAAAAAAAAAAAAAAAAAAACAUUGAAGUAAUAAUACAGACAGUUAGUCGUACAAAUCAUCUCCUGGCUGGGCACAACGAUACCUCAUGCCUGUAAUCCAAGCACUUUGGGAGGCCAAGGCAGGCAGAUCACGAGGUCAAGAGAUCAAGACCAGUCUGGCCAACAUGGUGAAACCCCAUCUCUACUGAAAAUAUAAAAAUGAGCUGGGUGCGGUCGUGGGCGCCUGUGGUCCCAGCUACUCGGGAGGCUGAGACAGGAGAAUCACUUGAGGUUGCAGUGAGCCAAGAUCGUGCCACUGCACUCCAGCCUGGGCAACAGAGUGAGACUCCCUCUCAAAAAAAAAAAAAGAAAAGAGAAAAGAAAGUAUUUCCUCUACCUCUGACCAGCAGUUGUGAAAGGGGUCAUAGGUCUCCACAUUGUUGAUUCUCUGUAAGCCGUCGAAGCCUCCGAUCACAUAGACCUUACCACCCAGCACCACCAUCUUAUGCCUCCAGCGGCCUAUGUUUAAAUACUCAAUCUGAAUCCAUUUGUUGAUCGAAGAGUUAUAUUUCCAAACAUCAUGCUGUGUUUCUUUGCCACCUGCAAGAGAUAAAAAGCAUUUAAGAAACCACCAGAUGUGUCAGAAAUACAGCAUCUCCCAUAAUAUCCCGCAUGUCCAAAAAUGCCAGGUUCCUAGGCCAGCCUCACCUUGAGGGGAGAUCAAAGCAGCCCUGAAGGCGUGUGCGGUCUAGUGGGGAGACAAGGCAGAUGCAGGGGGACAGUGGGAGAGAGAAAUGCAUUGUGAACACACGGUGCCGCGUGCCACCUCAGUGCAGGCAAAGUUCAGAGAAGGGGUAGCUAAGUGAGCGGUGUCCCAGGAAGGCUUCAGAGGGCAGGCCCCAAGUCAGCCUAGGUGGGUAGGGGCCCGAGGGAGCCUGGGCUCAGCGUUCGUGCUCACAAGGAGCAGGAAGUAAGGCUGGGCAGGGACAGUGUGCUUUGUCCAGAAGGCAAAUUACAUGGCAGCUUAAGUUCUAUGUUGACUUAUUUAUUUAAAAAAAAAAAGCAAAGAUACGGACCUGCAAAAAUCACCAAGAAAUCGUACAACAUUCUCUUGGUUUGUCUUUCUGAUCUAUAUAGAAAGAUCAGUGGGACUUACCCUAUUUCUAAAUUAAUAUUUGUUAGAAAAGUACGAGAUGCUCACAACAGAUCAUUUGAGAGUGGCCUGGUAAAUAUUUUCUUGAAGACAGCUCUCUUAAAAAACAGAAAAUAUGUAAUUCAGCAGCUGGGGAAAGAGACAAAAGGGAAAACUGACUUUCUGUGAUUUUAAUCAACGAUUUCACAGCUCUAUUUUUCCAUUUUCCCAUAGAGUACCAGCAACUACUGGAAGCACAGGUUUACUUUGCAGACAUACAUGUGUGCAAUAGUGCAGAAAUGAACACUGCUGACCAGGCCCUGUGUCAGGGUGUUUCUCUAGUAUGGAGCCCGGAAGCGGGUUUUCAAGUCAAAGGCAUGUGCACCUGAACUUUUAUAGGUGUAGCCAAAGCAUCCUCCACAACUGUGCUGGUCGACUUUUCCUCAUGCCCACUUUUUGUAGGUGGAGGUGGUUUUGUUUUCUGUCUUUAAAAAAAUUUUUUUAACAGUCUGACGGAGAAAAACUAUGUCAGUUUGGUUUUUUUUGUCACUACAAGGGAGGCUGAGCUUCCUCUUCCAAGAAUCUUUUGUUCACAUAGUUUGGCCAUUUUUCUUUGCAUGGGGUACAUUUCAGAGGUCUCCAUUUAUUCAAAACACUGUGAUACUGAUCCCAUUUAGGUAGCAUCAAAAAGUAUCAAAUAACUAUAAAAUUUCAAAGAAAUGUAUGCAACCUUUAUAAGAGAAAAACAAAAAACCUAUGAUUUUAUUUUAGGACAAAAAAAAAAACCUGAGAAAGCAUAUUGUGUGCAUAAAUAAGAAGACACAUUAUUGUGAAGAUGUCAGCCCUCCCUAGGUUAAUCUAUAUACACAAUGCCUUCAGGACUUUUGGGGGGAACUUGAUGAGAUAAUUUUAAAUUUCACUGGAAAUAUUAAGUUUCGAAAAAUUUCUAAGAAACUUUUGAAAAAGAAAAUCAAAGAAGAAGGCUUUCCUUGUUAAAUAUUAAAAUAUACUAAAACCCUAUUAUAAUACAAACAUUGUGGUACUAGACAAACUGACAAGAGCACAGAACAGACUAAAAUACAUACAGAUCAUUAAAUAAAUGUUAUUAGAACAAUUGGUUAUUCAUUUGGAUGAAAAUUAAGUUAGAUACUUAUUUUACAUUACAUUUAAAGUAAAAUUCAAAUGUUACUGCUAUAGAAUUAACUGGAGAAUGUAUAGGAGAUUAUGUUAAUGACCUUGGGGUUAGGAGGGGUUUCUAAGCAUAACAGGAAACGUAGAAUUGUAUAGGAAAGAAAACUAUAUAAAUACUAAGUUAAAAAACCACCACAGUCUAGGAGAAAAUAUUCACAACACAAAUAGCAAAGGAUAAAUAGUAACAGCUCCAAAAAGUUAGUAAGAAAAAGACAAAAAUCUGAUAAAACUGUUGAAGGGUAUGAACAGAUAAUUUUAAAAAUAAAUACAAUUAACUGAUAAAUAUAUAAAACAUGCUCAACCUCACUGAUGACCUAGGAAUGUAAAUUUAAACAUUCUAGUCUAUUAAAAAUUUAAAUGAGUAAUAAUAAAAAUCGUUACCAAGGAUAAAGAAAAUGGGCACCACCAUUCAUCACUGAUUGGACUGUAAAUUGGUCCGACUUUUCUGCAGGACAAUUUUGCAACAUAUACGAAAUUACCAGUUCACAUAUGACCACUUCCAGGAAACUUUCCAGUAGCAGCACAAGUAUGAAAAAAUAUAUGUGUCUAAGAAUGCCUACUGCAGUAUGUUUUAAAGAGAUUUUUAAAAGAAAGCUGAAACAAUUAUGGUUCAUCCAUUUGGUAGACUGCGAUAUAGCUGGUAAAAGGAGUGUCAGUAGUGAUGAUACCGGUCAGUGUGAUGAAGCUCCCACCACGUGCCUGGCAGGACGCUGUGCUUGGCAUGUGGUGACUACCUCACUCGAUAUGUAUGUCCAUUAAACCAGCGUGCCAGCAGGUCUAGAUUAUAUUGUUAACUGAAGUGCAAGUUUCUGUUUACUUAACUGUGUAUAACCAGCAUGCUUUCAGGUUCUGCUUGUAUCAUUAAAAAGUGAACAACACAUUUCUGACAAAAGAAUAACAUGUGGGUCGGGUGCAGUGGCUGACGCCUGUAAUCUCAGCCCUUUGGGAGGCUGAGGCAGGCGGAUUACCUGAGAUCAGGAGUUCUGGACCAGCCUGGCUAACAUGGUGAAACCUCAUCUCUACUUAAAAUACAAAAAAAUUAGGCCAGGCACAGUGGUUCAAUCUAUAGUAAUCCCAGCACUUUGGGAGAGUGAGGUGGGUGGAUCACCUGAAGUCAGGACUUUGAGACCAACCUGGCCAACAUGGUAAAACCCCCUCUCUACCAAAAAUACAAAAAUUAGUCAGGCAUGGUGACACGUGCCUAUAAUCCCAGCUACUCAGGAGGCUGAGGCACGUGAACCUGGGAGGUGGAGGUUGCAGUGAGCCGAGAUCACACCAUUGCACUCCAGCCUGGACAACAGAGUAAGACUCCAUCUCAAAAAAAAAAUAAUAAUAACAUGUGUAGUAUAUGUGUCAAAGACUGGCUCUGAUGACCACACCUGUUGAUCCCUCCUGGGCACACAGAUAAACUACAUUUCCCAGCCUCCUGUGCCCAGAGUGGGUAGGGGAGGGUAAGGGAGAUCAUGUUGCUAGUUUUUGCCAGUGGAAUAUGAGCGGAAUAGAUGGCACUACCAGGCUGAGGCUUUUAUGCGCAGAUGUAACUUCUCAACUCGCUCGGCUUCUUUCUCAUCCCCAAAUUGAGGCCAUGUGUAGGAAGAGGCAGUGUCAUGAGAAGGCAGGACCCUAGACCUUUGAGUGCCUGAGUGGAGCUGACUGUCCUCCCCGCGACCCCUGCCUGCUAUUGUGUUCAUUCACUGAGACUUAGAAUUUGUUACAGCAGCUAGAAGUAUUUAUCCUAUGAAAACAGAAAAUAAUCUUUGUACGAAAUGAAAACCCAUAGCAUUGUGAUGGCACAGAAUUGCCAGGUUUUACUUUACCUCCUCUGUACUGUUUGGAUCAUCUACAACAAUUAAAAAAAUAUUUCUACAAGAUGAAAAGAAAGCUAGAGCCUAAUGAAUGGUAUGAACGCGUUGGAAGAACAACCCGCCCUUGGUUUUGGAGGAAGCACGGUCUGGGAUGUCCCUUUCCCCACAACAAGUUCAGAUUCCAGAGAAGCCUCUAAGAGAGAGGAAGGGACGCUUGUCUCCUUCCUUAGGGUCCCAGGAAGAGCCAGGCGGCUUUUGAUGUGAUGGGGAGAGCAUGGGAGUUAGAACUUGGGUUGAAGUCCCGCCUGACACCGACCAGUGUGCGACCUUAGGUAUGUCCGAGAAUCCCUCUGAGCCUCCAUUUGUGCCUACCUUAAAAACACCUACCUUACAGAGUUGAUGUGAGAGGCAAACAAUUAAAUGUUAUUUAAGUUUAAACGUAUCUACCACUCAGUAAAGACGGUUGAAACUGUGUCACUCAAUAAAUAUUUACUGGACAUGUACCCUGCAGUCAGGCACAGGGCUAGGUACAGAGGCUAGACUGUUGAUGGUCACAAAACUUCGGGUCUAAUGGGAAAGGCGGCAUAAAGUCACCAUCAGUACUUAAGCAAACAUGUUCCUAAUGAAAAAGCCUUGGGUCCUGCUGAAGUAUACCCCGUUACAGCCUAAUUAACAUGGGAGGGGUCCGGUUUGGGGGCAGAGCAGAUGUGUUUACUCAUUACUGAAUUCCCACUGUGUAGCUCAGGGACCUAUGCCCAUAGCAGACACUGAAUAAACCCCUGAUCACUUUCCCUCUUCCUUUUCUGUGAAGGACUAGACUUGUCUGCCUCCUCUCCAGGUUUUCUAUUAAUAGUACAACGCUAGCUGGACGAGGUGGCUUACACCUGUAAUCCCAGCACUAUGGGAGGCCGAGGUGGGUGGAUCUCCUGUGGUCCGGAGUUCAAGAUCAGCCUGGCCAACAAGGUGAAACCUGUCUCUACUAAAAAUACAAAAAUUAGCUGGGCAUGGUGGCAGGUGCCUGUAAUCCCAGCUACUUGGGAGGCUGAGGCAGCAGAAUUGUUUGAAUCAGGGAGUUGGAGGUCGCAGCUAGUCAGGAUCACACCACUGCACUUCAGCCUGGGGGACAGAGCAAGACUCCAUCUCAAAAAAAAAAAAGAAAAACAAUAGUGCAAUGCUGCUUACAGUUUAGUGUUUAUUGAGUAGCAAUGUGCCCUCAAGAUAAGACCACCUGAGCUCCUUGGUCCAUACCCUGUCUUACUCAGAGCCAGAUCAUCGCCAAGUCACAGUCAUUCUUCUAGGAUGGUUACCUGGCUGCCACUCAGCAACAUACAUUAGUGCUACUGGGGGCUGGCUUACCUGAGAUGUAGACCUCAUUUUUCAGUGUCACGCAUGCGAACUCCACCCACUUCUUAUUCUCACUCUCCAGCUCGUGCUCUGUUAGUGGGAGCUUGGCCACCUCCAGGCGGCUGCGCCUCAGGGGGUCCAGGCAGGUCACCUCAGCCACAAACCGUUCAUCCUUCGUGCAGCCGCCAAUGAUCAUGAACACCUCAGACUGGAACUCGUGCAUCCUGGGCUUGGUGCGCUCCGAAAUGAUCUGGAAAUCAAUAAGGGUUCAUAAAGGCAGGACAAUACAAUGUUGUCCUUCAGAGCUCAGGCCACGAAGCCAAUAGGAGCAGGCUCCAAUUUCCACACCUGCCACAGCAUGACCACGUGACUUCACCUCCCUGAGCCUCGGUUUCAUCAUCUGUAUCAUGCGGUAUUAGAGAUAAGUACCUCGUAGGUGUGUUUCCAGGAUGAAGUGGGAUAAUGUAUGUAGUAUGCUUCACUCAGGGCUUGGUACAUAACAGGUGCUCAAUAAAUGUUACCUGUUUUUGUUGCUGUUUUAACAGGUCAGGGUCUAUACCAUCAGAGGCACUUCCUGCCUCUCCUCUCCUGUCUGGUAUGAAACCUAAAAUCCUGGAAUUUCAUUUUGGACUUUCCCCCUUGCCUUUAAUUUCUUGAUGAGAUCUCAGACUUUGCUCCCUGUCAGCCUUCUGGAAGAAACAUUCUGGACAGUGACACAUAGAGCAUUCAGAGACUCAGGAAACAAGAACUAGAAGGAAUCGGGGUGUGGCCAGGGAGGUAGGAAGACUGGUUCCAACAUACAGUGUAUGGUCUCGCAGAGCUUCCAACAAGUGAAGACAUCCAUGCUGUGGGCAUUUGGACCCCGCUGAAAGAGCACAGCCUUGCAAGUCAGAGGUACCAGGGUCCUAUCACCGAUGGCCAUGUGGCUUUGGAGAAGCAACACAACCUUUGUAAACUGCUUGUUCAUUUCUCUGCUCCCAGAUGAUUGUGAGCAUUCAUGAGGUGGAGGUGUGAGCAGAGCACCCAGCACAUACUUGCUCCUCAACAGACAGUCAGGCCUGUAGGAGCAGUGGCAGGUACCAUCUUGAUAUUGCUAUAAAAGGAAGAGCUGCCCUUCCCUGGUUCCAUUGGCCCCCUGGGCUCCAUGGUGAAGGUUCCAUAGGAGUGCUGAUGGGAUGCAGAGAGGCAGUCACCGUUUCUAUUGAUCACAGGUGGUGAUAAAUAGGUUACAGUAGCAAACACUGAGCCCUCAAGUAGUGAAUGCAACCUGGAGCCAUAAAUGAUCAGACCAGCCGACUCCCAGCCUCGACUUUGCUGUAACAGUCUUUGUUCGGUUGGUCAGCUUUCUGUACCUCGGAGCCUGGUACAGUGAAUUCUGCAUCCUCAGUUCUUGAGGCUGGACCAUGGCCAUAACAUCUGUGGCGGCUAUUCCUUACAGGUCAGCAGAGUGGGGAUGGGUGUGGCUGGGGGACAAAGCCCAGACUAUGGACUGGGCUAGGGUGUGGACAGCCAACGGUACUGGGGGAAGGGUGGAGCGGGGGUCAGGGAACCUGGAGGCACCAUGAGAGCACCAAGCUGGCAGGACAAGGUCUGGGCAAUGGCGCCAAAGCCAAGCGUGGCUGCUCUGCAACUUUCUCUCCAGCUAUCAGCCCUGGUUCCUGUCCCUAAACCCCAUGCCCCACAGCCGAGGCACAGCCUCCAGCACCAAUCUGGUCCUCUUUUAGAGGGGAUUUAGGUGUUGCAGGCAAUGCUUUGAAAACAGCACGGGCCUCCCAGAAUGGAUUCCCUUGUGACCCUUUCUUCCGUUCUGGGUACCAGGCCUCGGCCUUCACUCCGAAGCUUCCCCCAUCUUAUUUGCAAUGCCUGCUUUCCUGCCCCAGUAACCUGUUGGGUGAUUGAGAGGCCGCUUAGGAGAACUGGACUAGCCAUGGUCUUACCUCUGACCCCCAAGGCUGGCACCUUGUUCCUUGGUCCUGACCAAUGAAAGGCUCUCCUCCUGCUGACUGAAAUCCCUGGGUUCCUGCCUGCUGCCUGGAUCUCCCCAUAAUAUUCUAUUCUCAAUUCCCCAUGCUACCACCCCAAUCCACUUAGCCUUUAAGGCAUGGUGAGUAAUUUACCAUGUAACAUGUCCCUUUCUCCAGGAAGCCAUUCCUAAUAACCCUGAGUUAUUUGCACACAUUCCCAUAACCCUGAGUUUCCCCACAACGGCACUGUUCAUGCUUCAUUGUAAUUUAUUGUAAGACCCUGAUGGCAGGAACGGUCCUUUUUCUCCAAUGGAUCCUCAGCACCAAGAAUAGUACCUGGAGCUUGUGGACAUCUAUAAACACUGAUUAAAUGAGUGAAUGAGCUGGGUGCAGUGGCUCAUGCCUGUAAUCCCAGCACUUUGGGAGGUCGAGGCAGGUGGAUCACUGAGGUCAGGAGUUCAAGACCAGCCUGGCCACCAUGGUGAAAGCCUGACUCUACUAAAAACUUUUAAAAAUUAGCUGGGUGUUAUGGGCACCUGUAAUCCCACCUACUCAGGAGGCUGAGGCAGAAGGAUCUUUUGAACCCAGGAGGCAGAGGCUAUCGUGAGCUGAGGUUGCACCCAUUGCACUCCAGCCUGGGCAAUAAGAGCGAAACUUCCUCUCAAAAAACAAAAUAAAACAAAAAGUGAAUGGAGGAGUGAAUGAAUGGGCAAGCGAGGUAACUCAGUCUAAACCAUUGUGGUAGUGAGCACCCACAAUGGCCCGCAGUGACCCUUCUUCCUGGUAUUCACAUCUUGUGCCCCAGUGACCCUGCUUCCUGGUAUUCACAUUUUGUGUAGUUCCCUCCACACUGUUCUAGAAUCGGUCUCUAUGAUCAACAGAUCACAGCAGAAGUGGUGAUAUAUCACUUCUGAAGUGAGGCUAUAACAGGCACGUCCAGCUUGCAUCCAGAUUACUCUUGCCGUCUUUCUUAGAUCAUUUGUUCUGGGGGAGGCCAGCUGUUAAGAUGCCCAUGUGGCAAGAAACUGAGGCUCCCAACCAGCAGCCAGCAAAGAUCUGAUGCCUGCCAACAGUCCAGUGAGUGAGCUUGAAUCCCACUGGAACUUUGAGAUUACUGCAGCCCCAGCCAACAGUUUUACUGCAACUUCCUAAAGGACCCUGAACCAGAAGCACCGGGCUAAACCACUCCUAGAUUCCUGACACUCAGAGCCUGUUAGAUAGUAUUUGUUAUUUUAAACUUUUCAGUUUGGGGGUAAUUUGUUAUGCAGCAAUUGAUAAAUAACAAUCAUCUAGCUGAUGGGCUUGGAUGGGGUAAUGAGACCUGCCUUAGAACUCUGCGCCACAGAACUGCCAAGUGGUGGCACCAUCACCACAUUGUAAGUUCAGCUACAUUUGGCAAAAUAUUAAAAACAAAUAAAUAAAAUUAAAAUUAAAUAAUUAAAAUUAAAAACCAAUAACAAAUGUCAGUCUGAAGUCUGAGACGUGCCAGGUUGUUGCAGACAGAGAAGUGUCUGCCAGUGAAUUGCAUGCAACAAUCAAGCAUAACCAGUUUACUUUCAGAUUGUUGAAAACAGAGCAGGUACUUGCACCCUAGUGCCUGCUCACUCUCUGCAGAUCCUGUACAGGGGACAGAGUGAUCAUAUUGUUUCAGCAAAGAUGUCAUUGGGCUGGAGCCUCUGCCCCCUUUUCCAUAUCACACACAUCAGAGUCACCUUUGCCAUAGACCAAGUUCAUGUCUGAAAACGUAGGAGGCAAUUAAGUGAAGAGGCAACUUUCCUCUGUCCCCAAAGACCUCUUCAAUGAAGGUUUCAGCUACCACUCCCAAAUCAAAUGGAGAUUGACAUUUGCUUUUGGUGUUCUGAAAUUUCCCAUUGUUACCACCCGUGUAGAGGACAGGCAAGGUUAAAAAAGAAAGAUGAUGAUAAGACAAGAGGGUUAAAGUUUGGUAACUAAAGGGUAGGGGGAGAAGUGUGUUCAGGCUUACUCUGCUGCCAUCAGGAGUCAACCCAAGGCCAUGCCCGCAGUGAGCAGACUGGAUUCCCAGGGAAUCAACUGGCAAUGAGACCCCAACUGGGAGGCCUUGGUCAUUGGUUGGUUGGUUCAGUUGCCCAAAUUAUAAAAUGAGGAUGAGACAUCACCUCGAGAAGGAUUUGGGAAAAUAAGGCUGCAAAAUCCUGGGACACACUGAAAAGACUGAUUUUAGCCCCAGAGAAGAAAAAUGAUUGUGAGAGAUGAAGCAACGAUAAAGGAUCCAAUGGCAAUGACAAUAGCUUCCACUUGUGGGACACUUAGCAUGCACCAGACACUGUACUGAGCAUUCCAUUCAUUACUUAAUUCUCAAAACAGUUCUGUCAGUUGGUAGGUAUUAUUAUCCCAUGUUACAGAUCAGAACUGGGCCUUAGAGUAGCUAAGUAAUUGCCUGAGGUUACACUGUAAAUAAAUGGUGCUAUCAAAGUUCAUGCUAGAAGAAACAGAGAUCCUAAAUAGUCCUAUAUCUGUUAAAUAAAUAUUCAUUAAAGUUUUAAAACUUUCCACAAAGAAAACACCAGGCUGUGGCAAAUUCUACUACACAUUUAAGGGUAUGUUUGCAGAGUGAAUGAAUGAACAGUGCCUCUAAAGACAACCAAAAAAAUUAGAAAAGAACACACAGAAAAAGGGAGAAGCUCCAAAAGAAACUCAGACAAUCCCUGGGCCACAUUUGGCUGAGGCUUCUACCAAUGGCCUAAUGAAGGAGGCUUGGUACCGAAUCCCAGAACCACUGCAUAGUGAGGCAUGAGUGUUCAUGUGUACACACUGUUAACAAGAUGUUCCUAUAUCAUUACUUCCUCUCCACUAAAUUCGUACUUGUCUUUAUGAAGUUCUGAAUAAAAAUCUUCAAGAAUUGUUAAGGAGAACCAGGUAGAUCCAAAUGAUAUGUUUAUUCACCAUUCGUAGUACCCAUUUAAUCAUUCAACAAGCAUUUGCCAAUUACUGAUUCACUGUAUAGCAGUAUUAGAACUCUCCUAAGAUCUGGAGAUGAAAAGUGUAAUAAGACUUAUUUCCUGCUAUAACAAGCUCCCAGUCUAGAGAUAUUUACAGAUGAUAACUUCAAAUGGUUAUCGUGCAGCAAUUGGUGCUUGAUAGAGCAAUGCACCAAGUGCUGUGAAAACAUGGAGAGUGGCUGGGUGUGGGGCUCACAACUGCAACCCUAGCACUUUGGGAGCUGAGGUGGGAAGAUCACUUAAGCUCAGGAGUUCAAGACCUGCCUGGGCAACAUAGUGAGACCUUGUCUCCACAAAAAAUUUAGAAAUUAGCCGGGUGUGGUAGUGCAUGCCUAUAGUCCCAGCUACUUGGAUGGCUCAGGUGGGAGGCUUGCUUAAGCCUGGGAGGUCAAGGCUGCAGUGAGCAGUGAUUGUACCACUAUAUUUCAGCCUGGGCAACAGAGCAAGACCUUAUCUAAAAUAAAUAAAUAAAUGGAAAAGUCUCUGGAGAAAGUGAUGCGUGGACUGGGUUUUGAAGUAGUAGAAGUCAGCUAGAUGAAGAAGAGGAGAAAAGCAUUUGAACAACACUCGUAUUGACCUGGAGGCAGAAAAAGCACAUCUACUUUGGGGAACCCCAAGCAGGGCAUUAGGACUGCAGCAGAAGCGGGAGGGGGAGAGGAUGCUGAAGAAGCAGGCGGGAGGUUAAUGAGGCAAGACCAGGCUCUGGGAACACCAGCAGGAAGUAUGGGCUUUAUCCUGAAGGUGAUGGGGAGCCAGUGAAGAAAGCAAGCCCAGGAGCAGGAGGAUCAGACUUGGGUUUCAGAUAUUCCAGCUGGUGAAUAAAUUGGAGAGAGGCUAGACGUGGGGCAGGGAGAUGAGUUUUGAGAAAUUUCCAGAAAUUUAGAUGAUGAGAGUCCAAAUCCAAGAGAUGCAAGUUUUCAUCAGAGUGGGCAAGGACGAGCAGACCCCCAUGGAAUAGUGACUAGACAGGGUACGUUCUUGUUUUUGUUUUGUUUUGUUUGUUUGGAGAUGGGAUCUCACUCUGUCAGCAAGCUGGAGUUCAGUGAUGCGAUCUUGGCUCACUGCAUCCUCCUCCCAGGUUCAAGCAAUUCUCUUGCCUCAGCCUCCCGAGUAGCCGUAGCUGGGACUAUAGGCACGCACCUUCAUGGCCAGCUAAUUUUUUGUAUUUUUAGUAGAGAUGGGGUUUCACCAUGUUGGCCAGGAUGGUCUCAAUCUCUUCACCUUGUGAUCCACCUCCCUCGGCCUCCCAAAGUGCUGGGAUUACAGGCGUGAGCCACCGCACCUGGCCCAGGGCAUGUUCUUAUUUGUGUGUGCAGUGUGGCCCCCAACCUCCCACCCUUCAACAACUGGGAAGAGGAAGCAUGGGCCAGGCGUGGUGAUGAGUGAUUUCUACAUCUCACCUAAUCCUCUCAGUAACUGUCUGAACACAUGGGAUCGGACUCACAGAUCGGGAAUCAGGGAUUCUGGAACUGCCUGACUCAUCAAUGAGCAGGGCAGUGUUUUCUCCUUAAUGCCCUAAGGACUUUUGAAUCCACUUUGCUUGCAUCUCUAUGAGUCCCUAGCUAAUUCCUCACUUCGCUGGUUAAAUAUAGCACCCCUUAUCUUUGACUCACCUCAUUGCCAGAAAGGUGGUACAUCCUGGCUUCCUGGAGCAGCGGGAAGACCUCUGGACACUGCCUGAUGAGAGGAUCUGCUUCUACUGUCUCCACAAAGUACCAUGGGUCCAGAAGCGGUAAGCGCACGUUCUCAAGGACGUAGGGGAGUGAGCAGAGUCGUUCUGAUGGCUUGUGCCGGACCCAGCUCAUCACAGUCUCAAAUACCUGAGCCUCCUCAGUCACGUAAAGGUCAUCACUCUUCAAGAUGUGGUGCAGAGUGUCCACGGGUAGGUCAAGGAACUCCUCAGAGUUCAGAAUCUGCACAAAGUUUUGAACAAUGUAACUCUGAACCUGCUUCUUUAGAGUGUCCAACGAGUGUGUAUCAGCCAGCCUCAGUAUUCCAACACAGUUUUCUGGGUUCAAGGCUUCAGUGAGGAAGCUGGCACAGGCAUCCACCAUCCGCAGAAACUGAUGGAAUAGAAAGGGCAGAAAGGAGGCAGAAAACGAUGAGUCCACAAGAGGUUUAUCAGUGAGUUGGGUGUAGUAGCCAAAAAUGGGAAACAACAUUUGUCCAACAGUACUGAAAUACAUGUAAUACAUUCAUACGGUUGACAGCUCUACAGUUACUUCAACGCAUGUUGUAGGAGAAUAUUAAACAAAAUGGAAAAUGUUCAUAAUGUAUUGAGUUUUAAAAUCCGUUUAUUGGAUCUGAUUAAGCCUCUACAUUUAAUCAGCAAUUUUUGGGAAAUACAGGGGAAAGAGGAGCCUGCUAAAUGACGCCAUGGCAACACAAUCAGCAAAAUCCAGACUGGAAAACUCGACAGAACAACUUGGUCAGUUUCUUCAACAAAACAUUACAAGGGGGAAAAAAGAGAGAGAGGAGAAGGAGAACCUAAAGAUAAAAAGAGAUUUAAGACACGUCAACCCAUUGCAAAGUACAGAUUUUAUUUGGAUUCCUGAUUCAAGCUAUAUAUAUAUAUUUUUUUAAAGUUGGAGAAAUGUAUACAAUGACUAAUAUUUGGUGAUAAUGCAACAAUUAUUCAUUUUAGGUGCAAUAAUGGUUUCAUGUUUAUGUUUAAGAAGAAUCCUUAUUAGAGAUAUAACAGAAAUAUUUGCAGAUAAGAUGAGAAAAACACUUUGCAAAUCGUAUGUACAUGAGGAUUCUGUUUUUAUAAAGAAAACAUACAGAAUAAAGUCAUAGAAAAAAUACUAAAGGAUAUAGGUUAUCAGGUAUCUUAAGGCAAAUUAUUCUGUAGUAGCAACCCCCACAUCUCAGGGGCUUACAACAAUAAAUGCUUCUCUCUCACAUGUAAUACGUUCAUACAGUCGACAGCGCCAUAGACACUUAAAAAACACAUGGUAGGAGAAUAUUAAAUGAAAUGGAAAAUGUUUAUAAUGUAUUGAGUUUUAAAAUCUGUUCAUUGGAUCUGAUUAAGACGCUACAUUUAAUCAGCAAUUUAUGGGAAAUACAGAGGAAAGGAACCUGCUAAAUGAUGCCAUGGGAACACGAUCAGCAAAAUCCAGACUGUGGAAAACACCAUGUGUGUUCUUCCCAGGGCUCUUCAUUCCAGGGCCCAGGAAUGUGGAAAAGCCCUUACCUGAGAUAUGCUGGUCUCAUGACAGAAGGGGGAAAAAGAUGGCAGAACCACACAAAGGCUUUUAAAACUUCUGCUCAGAUGGGGCACAUGCUACAUUCAUUUAUGCAAAACCAUCCAGAGUAAGUUACAUGGCAAAAUUUGUCAUCAAGGGAACCACAGUUCUCCAAGAGAAACAGGUAUCAUGGGAUAGACAGGGAAUAUACUAUACAGAUAGCAGAAGGUACAACACACUAAUAAGACUAUGAGAAUUUUUCUAGUUUGGUUUAUUUAUAUAUUUUAUUUAUAUACUCUAAGAUGAGUAAGUACCACUUUUGUCAUUAAAAAUUAAUUUAUAAAAUUAUUGAUUAGCUGUCAGAUCCCAUUUUUAAGUUAUCAGCAUUCUCAUAAAAAUUCAAGUCCCAGCCAGGCUGGGUGGUUCAUGAGGUCAAGAGAUCAAGACCAUCCUGGCCAACACGGUGAAAACCCGUCUCUACUAAAAAUACAAAAAAAUUAGCCGGGCGUGGUGGCACAUGCCUGUGGUCCCAGCUACUCGGGAGGCUGAGGCAGAAGAAUCACUUGAGCCCAGGAUGUGGAGGUUGCAGUGAGCCGAGACUGUGCCACUGCACUGCAGCCUGGUGACAGAGCAAGACUCCGUCUCAAAAAAAAAAAAAAAAAAAAUUCAAGUCCCUUAUGCUUGUACAGCACUUUACAGAUGACAAAGCACUGUUAUAUGCAUUGUAUUUUUUAAUAUCCAUUUUAAAGAUGAGGUGUCUCCAAUGCAUUGGUUCAUUCUUAUUUGUUGUUCUCUAGAGCUUAGCUUUGAACAGUUCAGCCCCCUAGCUCCCUUCCCUGUCGACUGGACUCCUUAUAGGGUCAAGUUCUUGGUGCACAUGGAUUGAUCGAUUAAUGGGAGGAGAGGAAAAGGGAGGCUAAGGAGGCACGACCUGGUGGGGGAGGCCUUCUGAAGGCAGGUUCUGGUGAGAGUAGGGAUGGUACAGACCUAACUGGGGAGGGAUGGCAGGAGCUGGGGGGGAGUGGGGCUAUGGAGCCUGAAGGUUGAGGGUGGGCAGGACUGGUUCUAAGAGUGGACCAAGGUGACCCAGGCUCUGGACUUUACUCCAGAGCAUGCCAGGGAACACAUCCCUGACUUUUUGGAUCAAUCUCUAUUGCAAAAUAUUUUCUGUGUCAGACCACAUAGAAUUGACAGUUUAAAAAGCAUUUCUCUGGCUGGGUACAGUGGCUCAUGCCUAUAAUCCCAACUCUUUGGGAGGCCAAGGCAGGCAGAUCACCUGAGGUUGGGAGUUCAAGACCAGCCUGACCAACAUGGAGAAACCCGUCUCUACGAAAAAUACAAAAAAUUAGCUGGGUGUGGUGGCAGGUGCCUGAAAUCCCAGCUACUUAGGAGGCUGAGGCAGGAAAAUUGCUUGAAUCUGGGAGGUGGAAGUUGCGGUGAGCCAAGAUCACGCCAUUCCACUCCAGCCUGGGUGACAAGAGUGAAACUCCAUCUCAAAAAUAAAUAAAUAAAUAAUAAAAGCAUUUCUUAGAGGGUCAAUGCAAAGUUGGAGAAGGCCCGAAUUCUGCCUCAGAGCCCAUGUCUGCUGGCCUCUACCGCCGGCAGCUCUGCUCUUCGCAUGAGCAACCAUGGAAACGGUUGAGACUGAGGCUGCUAACACCUGCUUGGUCGUUAGCAGAUUUUUCAGUUCAAAGAGUAAAAACAUGCAAUCAAGCCCAAGCCCCUUGAGCCCUCCGAACCGGACACCAGAGCCCUAUCUGGCCCUGUUCACAGAGACGUCUAUGCGAGCUGAAAGGAAACUCACUUCAAUGGUAGCCCCCAGUGCAAAAUGCCACGACCAUCGUGCCAGCGUUUGCAUGAGGGAAAAACUGAAUAGAUAUGUCUAGGUACUUAGACUAUCUCUGGGAGCCCGCACAAGACCUGAUAACAGUGAUCUUGCCUAUGUUGGUGAUAAUGAAAUGUUUAUUAUUCAUUUUAGGUGCAAUAAUGGUUUUAUGUUUGUGUUUAAGAAUCUUUAUCUUUUGACACACAACUGAAAUAUUUGUGGAUAAAAUGAGAAAAGCACUUCACAAAUCAUAUGUACAUUAUGAUCCUAUUUUUAUAAACAAUAGAAUAAAGUCACAGAGGCCAGGCACAGUGGCUCACACCUGUAAUUCCCAUCCAAUUUUCUCAUUUAUAGAGAGAAUACGAGAAGGUAACAUACAAAAUGCUAGCAGUUGUUAUAAAGUUUUUAACUGUGAGUUUACUGUAUGACCAAGCUUUAAACUUGAGCAUGAACAUUGUAAACUCAGGAAAAAAAUACAUAAAAUAAACACUUUAUUGUGAUUUUAAAGGACACAAUGAAAAAAUAAAAGGUAAAAACUAAGCACUAACUGUAGGCCAGACUCUACACACUAAGAGUUACUUGAUUCCCACCGCAACACCGUGAAAGAGGAGUUUCUUAUGAUCCCUGAGGAAGCCAGAGCCAGAGGACUAAUCUCCUCAGAGACUUACAGUUAAUCAAAGAUAGAACUAAAGUUUGAACCAGUCAUCUCUGAUUCCAAAAACGCAGGUUUUUUAUACUAUUGUUCAAGCUGCUUCAGGUCGAAUAACGCGUGUGGCGGCCAAAGGCUUGCCAGACGCCAAAUGUCAUUUGCACUGGGUAGCUCAGAUGACCUGAUCUGCCCCGGCACAGAAAGGACCAGCCAAUUCCUAGUUCUGCUUGAUGACUAUUGAUGAGCAAAGAAGGAAAACCACAGAGGAGAAUCCAAUCAAGUCCUGAGGCUCACGUUUGUCAGAAGCACUGACCCAAACUCGUCUCUCUUCUCUCCACCUGUCAGCUGACCCUCCAGCCACCUGUGUAUGGACCAAAUGUGAAUCAAGCAUGUGUCCUUUUUUAUUUUACGUCAUGUUCUGGAAUACACGUGCAGGCAGAAGGUGCUGGUUUGUUACCUAGGUAUACAUGUGCCAUGGUGGUCUGCUGCACCUAUCAACCCAUCAUUUAGAUUUUAAGUCCCAAAGGCAUUAGGUGUUUGUUCUAAUGCUCUCCCUCCCCUUGCCCCCCCACCCCUGGACAGGCCCUGGUGUGUGUUGUUCCCCUCCCUGUGUCCAUGAGUUCUCAUGGUUCAGCUCCCACUUCUGAGUGAGAACAUGCGGUGUUUGGUUUUCUGUUCCUGUGUUAGUUUGCUGAGAAUGAUGGUUUCCAGCUUCAUCCAUGUCCCUGUAAAGGACAUGAACUCAUUCAUUUUAUGGCUGCGAGCAUCUAUUAAUAUUACAUAGGCGGCUUCCAACUAGUGCUGGGAGUACAGAGGUGAGCAGAGACAAAGUGCCUGUGCUCACUGAAGCCGGCAGACUAGUGGAGGCAGCAGAUGCUAACCAAGUGAUACAACACGGAGUGCGACGGAACAGCGGAGACAAAGGCUGCGCACCCAAGGCCAGGGAUUCCACCACCUGAAACCAGGGACGGUCCCACUCCCACCCUUCCAUCUCCCACAGUCUGGCUGUCAGUCCUCACCAGGACUCUCCCCGACAGAAACCCAGCUACGUUCACACCCGUCUCCUCGCCUUCUCCAAGGAGUCCUUGAUGGCUUCUCCUAGUGAUUCUAACAUGGAAUCCCUCUUCUCUGUGCUCCACUGGGGACCUCAUUUGCCCCAUUUGUGGAGCACCCAGAGCAUUUCCGUCGUGUACUAUGGUCAGCUGAGACAAGCAUCUCAAAGCAGCUUCUAGGUCAUACUUGUGUAUUUAUUUCACAAUAAUAAUGCUAGCAGCAUCUAGCACAGAGCCUGGCAAAAGAAGAGAGAGACAGAGGAAGGACAUAUGUAUCGCCUACCGGGUACCAACAUCUGUGCUAGACACGUUCCCAUUCCUGAUUUCACCUAACAUUUUAUUUUUAACAAGUCUAUUUUAUUUAACAGGUAAAAAAGGGAAGGUGUUAGAAUUAGCAUUUGUAGAGAAGCACGAAUAAAGAAUGUGAAGAGCUGUGCACGUUCGCACUGGUAGGAGGUGGCACGGGGGAUGCUCCAGUCAGCAUCGCACUGCCUUUGUAACUUGCUGCAUUGUUGAGCUAACAGAAUGCCAGGGGGUCUGAAGAGGCUUUAUGAGGACAAGGGUAGGUGGGGGAUCUCCAAGUUGCCAAAAUUCUCCCAAAAUAUAUUUUAAUAAACACUUCUGAGUGUGAGGGGUGUCGGGCAGCAUCACGUCAUCCCAACAAAUGGCUGGGAAAUUGUUGAUGUGCAUGGCAAUUGUGGGAACCAGAAAUGGAUUUUUUUUUUUUUUUAAGAUGGAGUGUUGCUGUGUUGCUAGGCUGGAGUGCAGUGGUGCAAUCUCGGCUCACUGCAACCUCCGACUCCCUGGUUCAAGCAAUUUUCCUGCCUCAGCCUCCCAAGUAGCUGGGAUCACAGGCGCGUGCCACCACACCCAGCUAAUUUUUGUAUUUUUAGUAGAGACGAGAUUUCACCAUUUUGGCCAGGAUGGUCUCAAUCUCCUGACCUCGUGGUCCGCCUGCCUCGGCCUCCCAUAGUGCUGGGAUUACAGACUAUGCUUUUGCUGUUUCACAUUCAAGUUUGUUCAAGACUAAGUUUUCUGUCUCGGCCUGUCCCGAUGACACACGAACUUGUUUGUUAGAGCUGCGAGAUGACAGAUAAUGGCGAAAGACAGCCAACUUCCUGUUUGGGGGGACAUGUGAGCAAAAGGUUGCAGCCAGGCACCUGACUCUCAGAUGGGGAGGCUAAAAAUACAAACAAAGGAAACACUUGAGAAGCGUCUGCCUCCAAGAGAACGCACUGCCUGCUCCUCACCUCCACUGUCCUCUGCUUCUCCCUGAUGUUCUCCAAAACCUGAGGUCCUAGGGGGCUUCACCCAUGUGACUCCACGUCUCCCACAAGGUGCCUUCAAAUCCACUUCAGGAUCACUGAAAUCCCAUUUUAGUUUACAUCAGCAGUUCCACGGAUCAUGGUGUCCAAGUGGCCUUGGAGUUAUUGCAAAGGUUCUAUAAGGACAUUGAUAUUCUCACCUUCAGCUCUGACAAAUCAGCGUGUGUGAAGGGCAAGUUGAUGAGAUUAAUAAAAUUUAAAUUUAUUUCAAAGUUUUUCUGAAUUCAUUGUAAUUUUUUUUUUUUUGAGACAGAAUCUUGCUCUGUCACUCAGGCUGGAGUGCAUGCUGUGAUCUUGGCUCACUGCAGCCUCCACUUCCUGGGUUAAGCAAUUCUCGUGCCUCAGCCUCCCAAGUAGCUGGGAUUACAGGCUCGCACCACCAUGCCCAGCUAAUUUUUGUGUAAUAUUUUUAGUAGAAACAGGAUUUUGCCAUAUUGGCCAGGCUGGUCUCAAACUCCUGGCCUCAAGGGAUCCACCUGCCUUGGCCUCCCAAAGUGCUGGGAUUAUGGGUGUGAGCCACUGUGCCUGGCCAAUUGUAAAUUUUUGUCAACACUUUUCUUCUCUGGCAAUAGAUAGUAAAAGUAAAGCUCCUCUCCUGUGAGGUCUGUAUUGGUGUUUAAAAGGGGUCUUCAUGCUAAGAAAUUGUGAAUUACCUUUGAUCCCAAUCUUCCCUCCUUAUCUCUCUUCCCCUCUCCCAGCCAACGCUCUAGUCUCAAUCCUAUGGCAGCGUGCCCCACAGCCCCCAGGAAGGACGUCCUCUGCUCCCUCCUUUCAGUCCUUGCUCUAGAUUUGGCUGAGAAAUCUGCUGGUUCCUGGAAGCCUCAUGGAGUGGGCAGAAAGGGGAGGAACUAAGACCUGCAAAAGACCUGUCACUAAGGCAGGGCAGGUGUGGGGGCUGAGGCAACUGUGGAAGUGGACUGACCUCAGAAGUGGAAUCAGAGGGAAAAGACCCACAAUGUGGCCAGCGUAGUCAAGAUUCAAGCAGUAAACAUCCCCUGAGUUUCCAGAGGCGACAGUGGUGGCCCCAGCAGGCUAGCAGAGCACAACGGGCAGUACGUGUGAGCCACAUAUUCAAGGGGCAGGUGGUAUGGCUGGGGCACAGUGAUUCAGCCCAGCGACAAGGUAAAGACCAGGGAGAAACACCGUUGUAAAGACGAGGUGGAAUGAUUGUAUCUGGAACAUGGUUGAUGCUCAGGGUGUGGGGUAUGUGUGUGGAGGGCACGGGGGCAGGUGUGGAAGCAGAAGCCAAGCGCUGAGAAGCAAGCCUGUGAAUGCAGGCAGCCGCGGGUGUGGAAGGCUGAAACAAGUAUUCCAGGUUCUCUCUGCCUGGAAUGCUUUUUUCCCCAUCCUACUGCCACCCAUUCCAUGACAUCCAAGUCAAUGUCCCCUCCUUUCUGCCUUGGGCUCUACUUGGUUUGUCCAGUGGGCUGGAGGCUCAUUGAGAAUCUUUCAGGGAUAGUGGCGGACAGUGGAUAGAUGGAGUUGGAGGUUCUGGGUUUUCUUGCAGAACCCCACCCAUAGCUCCACCACAUGAUGAGCUGAAUUCCACCCCACCCCCACCCGUCUCUCUCUCAGCCAGUUUUCUCCUUUGGAAAGUGCUGAGAACCUAAAACCCACCUUGCAGGCUGAUUGUGAGGGUACUACCCAGCCUGCUAACCCACAGAGUCAUCGUCAACAUCAAAUGAGAUAUGGAGGAGACAAAGUUGCUACAUAAGUGUGAUCUGUACUCCACAUUUAUAAUCUUUAUUUUCUCCUCACAGAUUCUCACAAAUCUCCUUGCACUUAGAACAUGCUUAGUAACUUAUGGCUGUUAGGAGCAGUUAAAGUCAGAUUCUGGUAGCAAUAUGGGUUUUCAUUACGAUUAAAACCCCGCACCCCACUUCCUGUACUUCAGGGGCCAUAGGCAGCAACUGAGUACAGGCUUACUCAGGAGAGCGUGAGAGAGCAGACAAAAGAAGAUCACUCUUGGCUUCUGAGUUUCUAAAUAGGCUUUCAGAACUUACACUAGAAAAGAGGUUUUGAAAGAAAUACCAGUUAGUGGCAAGAACCUAGCCCUUUCAGCCUCAAAAGUCAGAAUUCUCAAGAGUCUAGGCAGAAAGUUUAUACUGAAACAGGAGACGGGGGAGAAUGGAUGAUAAUGCAAGAGCCAGCUUUUCCCACCCUGGAGGCAAGGACUGGGCUUCUUAGUGUCCCCUGGAAGGAGACCAAGUAAUUUCUGUUGGGGUCUUGAGCAGUUUUUGUUUUUUUUUUUUCUUGAGACGGAGUCUUACUCUGUCACCCAGGCUGGAGUGCGGUGCCUCGCUGUAACCUCCACCUCCCAGGUUCAAGCGAUUUUCCUGCCUCAGUCUCCUGAGUAGCUGGGAUUACAGGUGUACACCAGUAGAUCCAAGAUGGCCGAGUAAGAGCAGCUCAGGAUUGUAGCUCCCAGCAAGAGCACGGAGGGUGAGUGGUCGCGGCAUUUCCCGGUGGAUUUUUAUUGCCCACAGACCAGGAGAUUCCCCAGGCAGAGGAGCGCCAUGGGUCUCCAACGCGGCUGUUUCAGCUGGCAUGGCUGUUUCAGCAGGCGCGGCAGGUCUUCGCACAAAAACAACUCACAUGGGUCCGGGCACCAUUUCAGCUGGUGACUGGAGCACCUGGGAGACAGAGUCGCCAUUCAACUGAUAAAGAGGGGACUGAAACAGGGAGCCAGGCCAGGAGAUUCUGGGCAGGAAAGCACCUCCAGUGUGGCUGUUUCAGCCAGUGCAGUGGGUCUCUUCACAAAAUCUCACACAAAUCCCGGUGCUUUUUCAACUGGCGACUGGAACGCCUGGGAGACAAAGUCCCCCAUUCAACUGAAAAAAAGGGGACUGAAACAGGAAGCCAGGCCAGGAGAUUCCCAGGUGAAAAAGUGCCACGAGCCCCCAGCGCAAUCCAGGCACCAUUUCAACUGGUGACUGGAAUGCCUGGAAGACAGAGUCACCCGUUUAACUGAAAUAAAAGGGGUCUGAGGCAGGGAGCCAGGUGAUCAGGCACGGCCGGUCCCAUCCCCACAAAGAGCAGCAAUCUGAAAUGCUCAGGAUUGAGAGUUUCACAGCAAGCACAGCUGAAUCCGGGACAGUCCUGCUCUAUGGGGGAGGGGCAUCCGCCAUUACCAAGGCAGUCCACCACUACUGAGGUAGUCUGCCAUUGCUGAGGCAGUCCACCUUUGCUGAGGCAGCCCGCUAUUACAGAGGCAGCCUGCUAUUGCCAAGGCAGUCUGUCAUUAUGGAGAGAGUUCGCCAUUAUGGAAGUGGGCCACCAUUGCCGAGGCAGUUCUAACCAUACCCCUAUAAACAGGACUGCAGGGAAGUUUACAUGGCAGCUGGGCAGAGCCCACAGCAGCUCAGCAAAGCCUCUACAAGCAGACAGUGACUAGGCUGCCUUCUUGCUGGGCAGGGCAGCCCUGAAAAAAGGCAGCAGCAUGACAGAAACUUAUAAAUAAAGCCCUACCUUCCCAGGACAGAGCACCUGGGAAAAAAAAGACUGUUAUGAGUUCUCCUGCAGCAGACUUAAAUGUACUGCCCAGCAACUCUGAAUGAAACAAGGGAGCUCACAGCUCAGCACUUGAGCUCCUAUAAAGGACAGACUGUCUCCUCAAGCAGCUCCCUGACCCCCACAUAUCCAAAGAGUCACCUCAUAAAGGAGAGCUCAGACUGACAUCUGGCAGGUAUCCUUCUGGGACAAAGAUAGCAGAAGAAGAAACUGGCAGCAACCCUUACUGUUCUGCAGCCGCUGCAGGUGAUCCCCAGGCAAGCAGGGUCUGGAGCAGACCUCAGCAGUACUACAGCAGAGGGGCCUAACAGUUAGAAGGAAAACUAAGAAACAGAAAGAAAUAACUUCAUCAUCAACAAAGCAGGAUGUCCACUCACAGGUGCGCACCACCACACUCGUCUAAUUUUUUGUGUGUUUAGUAGAGACAGGGUUUCAUCAUGUUGGCUAGGCUGGUCUGGAACUCCUGACCUCAGGUGGCCCACCUGCCUCGCCCUCCCAAAGCUCAGGGAUUACAGGGAUGAGCCACAGCACCCUGCCUCAUGAGUUUUUAAUAAUAAAAAUAAAAGUAACACACAUGGCAAAUUUCUUAAACAAACAUGGCAGUGCCCUGAUUAAGAAAUCAUUCUCCUUUAAGAUGGAGAAAUUUGCCCAAGUCCUUCCAGUCAUUGUCCAGGUCAGUAGUUUGGGGCUGGCUUGCUUAUCUAUGAUGCAGAAGCCUGACAGUCUGGUUAAGGAACAGGGGACCUUGGCCUCUCUAGAACUAACACUCAUAAGGAAACUGAGUACAAUUGCUUCAGAGAGAAACUUACUAAUUUUUGUCAAGAAAGUAAAAGAGAUUUGGGUUUUUUCUGAGGCAAGGGAUUACCAGAAUAGGGAAAUUAACAAUAAAUAAAGCUUGCCCUGCCUCUGUGCUGUGUCUGUCAUCUCCUACUUUUCUCAUUAAAACCAACAUCUCUAUGGAAGUUCAUCACUUGAGAGAAAAUAAAUGAAAAUGGGGCAGGGUGUCAGGGGAGUGGAGAAAAAUAAUAAAAAUACUUGAUGCUAAGUGAUUCUGAGUAUAUUAAAGUUGGAUUGGCACGGUGGCUCACGCCUGCAAUCCCAGCACUCUUAGGAGGCUGAGGCACUUUGGGGGGCCCAGGUGGGCAGAUCACUUGAGGUCAGGAGUUCGAGAACAGCCUGGCCAAUAUGGUGAAAAUCCAUCUCUAGUGAAAAUAAAAUAUCAGCUGGGCUUGGUGGCAUGUGCCUGUAGUCCUGGCCACUUGGGAGGCUAGGGCAGGAGAAUUGCUUGAACCUGGGAGGCAGAGGUUGCAGUAAGCCAAGAUCGUGCCAUUGCACUCCAGCCUGGGCAUUGCAGUAAGACUCUGUCUCAAAAAAAAAAAAUUAAUGUUGUAAACAUAACAAGACAAAAUGAAAUUAUAAGUGAAUAAGGAUAUGAUUAAGCAAUGGGGAAAGCUAAAAAUUCACAUCGAAGACAAAAGUCUUCCAGGAUAUGAUCAAUAGCUAUGACUAAAUACUAGUUUUCAACUUUUGUACAUUAAAAAAGCUAUAUUUAAAAAUGAUGGAUCAAGUGACUAGUAGGAAAAUAUUUGAAACAUACAUUACAAAAGAUUACAGUCUUUAUUAUUUAAAAAGGUUUUCUAGCUCUUUUGAAAUGUCACCCAAAACUGAAAGGAGAACGAAAAACAGAAACAUAAACACCACCCUCGAUAAAACCAAAAGACCUCAGUAACCCCAGACCGCAGAAGAUGAAGCUGGCAUGUGACUGUGCUGAGAGGAGGGAGGUCGGAUCAAGUGCCUGAAGAGGAACAGGUUUGCAUCUCACAGACCAAAACAGCGGGAAUAGUGAAGUCUCAAGGAAGCAGGAAGGAAAUGGCAGGUGGGGCUGGUAGCAGGGAGUUGGUUUAAGAAGUUCAACCUCCUGUCCACCCCCCACCUCUAGCAGUCCAACAAUUCCACUCCCACGCUCUUUGGAGAAGACGGAUUAUUCUUUGGAGAAGGCAGCAGAAAAGGUUCUAGAUAGACUCAGGGACACCAAGAAUGGAGGAAGACACCUGUGACAUCAUACUGAAAAGGGGUUAGGUAAAGAUUCGCAUCCACGCUCACACACCCAGUCCAGGAUACAACACAGCUGCCUUAUUAUCCCCAUGCAAGAAACUGAAGAUCCUUAUCUGUAGAAACUGAACAACCUAAGGAAAAAAAUCCAAUCAACACAAACUUCUGGGAAUCCUCCCCUACAAAAAAACUGGCAAGCUACCCGACAGCCCUGCUAAAAUCCCCCAGUUCUCUAGCCUCUCGCCCUAGUCCCUGUGCACCAAGCAUCAAACUCCAUCUUAAACAUGAUUCCACAGCCAAGGAUCAAAUAAUCAAAAAGGUAUUUGAAGAAACUUACUGUAAUGGGUUGAAUGGUGACCCCGCAAAAGAUACGUCCAUGUCAUAAUCCUGAGACUCUGUGAACAUUAGCUUCGAUGGCAAAAGAGUAGGUAUUACUUGCGCAAGAUGUGAUUAAGGUAAGAAGUUUGAGAGGAGGAGCUGACCCAGGAUGAUCUGGAUGGGCCCUGCAUGUAAUCACACAUGCCUUUAUAAAAAUCACACAGAGGAGAACACCUACAGACGAGGAGGCAGUGUGGCUACGAAUGCGGGAAUCCGAGUGGUGCAGCCGCAAGCAAAGGAAUGCGAGCAGCCACCAGAAACAGGAAGAGGCAAAGGAAAGCUUCUUCCCCAGAGCCUCUAGCAGGAGUGCAGGCCUGAUGAUGCCUUGAUUGUGAGCGUCUGGUCUCAAGAACUCUGAAUGAAUAAGCCUGUGUUGUUUGAAGCCACCCACUUUGUGCUGAUUUGCUACAGCAGCCCCAGGAAACCGAUCCAUGCUCUGAGUUGGAAGUUGGCGACCUAAGCACACAGAGUAAAGAAAUGCAAAAGGAAGAGUGAGAGCAGACAGAAACUUCAAAUAUAAUGAUUAGGAGUCUAAUAAAAUAACAGACUCUUAGAAGCUAAGGCUAUGGUGGCAGAAAUGAACAAUUUGCAGAAAAGUUUAAAGGCAAAGUUGAGGAAAUCACCUAGAAAAUAAAACAGAAAAGCUAGAGAGGUCAGUAGGAGACAGAAGAUACAAAAAAAUAAAAAUAAGUCCAGGAGGUUCACCGCCUAACCAACGAUAGCUCCGGAAGGGAUAAUAAAGAGAAAAAUGAAGGAAUCAGAGAUCAUACAAGAAAAUUUCCCAGAACUGAAAGACACGAGUCUCCAAAUUGCAAUAACCUAUUGUGUCGAACACGUGAAUGGGGAAAAGAUCACAACUAUUGUAAGCGCCAUUGCGGAAAUGCAUCAAUGGACAUUUUAAAAGAUUAUAAUACAGUACAGGUGGAAAUAAACAGGUUAAAAACCAAGUAUCCAAUAGGAACCCGUUCUUCUAAGAUACGCAACAGGUAAUAUGAAGCAAUGCCUUCAAAAUGCCCAAAGAAAAAUAUUUUCAACCUUACAUUUUAUUUAUUUAUUUAUAUGAGACAGAGUUUUGCUCUUGUUGCCCAGCAUGGACUGCAAUGGCAUGAUCUCAGCUCGAUACAAACUCUGCCUCCAGGGUUCAAGUGAUUCUCCUGUCUCAGCCUCCUGAAUAGCUGGGAUUACAGGCACCUGCCACCACGUCUGGCUACAUUUUGUAUUUUUAGCAGAGACAGGGUUUCGCCAUGUUGGCCAGGCUGAUCAAACUUCUGAACUCAGAUGAUCUGCCCACCUUAGCCUCCCAAAGUGCUGGGAUUACAGGCGUGAGCCACCAUGCCCGGCCUCAACCUUAAAUUUUAUACUCAAACUAUCAAUCAAGUAUAAAGGUAGAAAAAAGACAUUUUUAGACAUAAAAGUCUCCAAAAAUUCAUCUCCCACAUACUCUUUUAUGGUAAGCUGUUAAAGGUUGUGAUUCACUAAAAUGAAGGAAUGUACAAGAAAGAAGACGUGGUGACUUAGUUUAGGCUGCUAUGACAGAUGACCAUUGACUAACAGGGUAAUACAUGAUGGAAAUCUAUUUCUCACAGUUCUGGAAGCUGGAGGUCCAGGGUGCCACAAUGGUCAGGUUCUGGUGAGGGGCAUCUUCCAGGUUGCAGGUGGUCAACUUUUCGCUGUAUUCUCAUAUGGCAGAAGAAGGCUACAGAGAUCACCUGGGCCUCUUUUAUAGGGGCAAUAAUCCUAGUAACAAAGGCUCCAUGCUCUUGACCUAAUUACCUCCCAAAGGCCUCGUCUCCUAGUACCAUCACAUUCAGAGUUAGGAUUCUAGUGUGAAUUUUAGGGGAACACAAAUAUACAGUCCAUUGCAGAUGGGAUCCAAGAACAGAAAAUUUACAUGCAAAAUAGGUAAAAGGAACUGCCAGGAUAACAGCAAAGGAAAGAGCCAGGGUGACAGCUGGGCAAAGGACCUGGAGGGCAGCCAGUUCAGAGAGAGGAGGACAAAGGGGAAUCAGUUAUCUAAAAUCGUGGCAUCAGGAGACAGCAGUGUACACAAGUCAUUCAGAACUACAGAAGUCAAUAAAAGAAAUAUCGAACACAAGUGAAAUUAAUUGCCCCAGAAGAGUGAACUGGAAGAGGACAUGGGAACAACGACUGUUGACUUUUUAAGCUUCUAUGAGUCUCCUAGGACUGUCAUUAACAUAUUAACAUAAGCUUGGCAACUAUGGCCUUCUUUCUGUGUCUCUGUGUCAAAUCUCCCCUCCUUUCUUUUAUAAGGACGCCACUCACUGGACUCAGGACUCACCCUAAAUCCAAUAGGCACUCAUCUCGAGGUCCUUAACUCAGUUACAUCUGCAAAGCCCCUAUUUCCAGAUAAGGUCACACUCACUGCAAUCAGGGUUGGGGCGUGGAUGUGCCUUUCUAGAGGACACAAUCCAACCCACUACAAAACUAUAUAUAUGAACUACUUUGCAUAUUUGUACUUAUUUAUUUAGCAUAUACAUUUUAAAAGUUUUUAGCAUCUAUUUCCAAGGCGACUUCCAGAAAGAGAUUUCCAUGUAUACUUCUACCAGCAAUGAAUGGAAGUCUCUGUUUUCCUUCACCUUUGCAAACACUGCACAUCAUAUUGUACACACUCUUGGCCAAAAUAAUACACAAAUGUUAUUUUAUUGUUGACUCAAUGUGCCUUUUGGAUUACUAAUGAUGUUUGGCACUUAAAAAUAUAUUCAUGUACUAUUUGGUCUUCCUCUUUGGUAAAUUACCUGUUCAUGUCCUUAGUUCAUUUUAUUUCUAUUAGGACAUUUAUCUCAUCCAUAUAAAAUAAAAGUAAAAAGACGUUAUGAAAACAUUGUUUUAAAUAGUCAAGUACAUGAAAACAGCCUAAACUUUUAGCCACAGAAAUUGAUUCACUAAAUUAUUAUAUUAUUGGAUUCCAUUAAGCUAUUAUGUCAUUACAGAAACCUGUCAUUACAGAAAUGCAUCUAGCAUGAGAAAUGAUUACAAUGUAAGUAAAAUAAAUAGAUUUAAAACAGUGUAUCCAGGCUGGGUGGGUGACUCACUCCUGUAAUCCCAGCACUAUGGGAGGUGGAGGCAGAUGGAUCACCUGAGGUCAGGAGUUCGAGACCAGCUUUGCCAACAUCGUGAAACCCCAUCUCUACUAAAAAUACAAAAAUUAGUCGAGCAUGGUGGCACACACCUGGAAUCCCAGCUACUCAGGAGGCUGAGCCAGGAGAAUGGCUUGAACCCAGAAGGCGGAGGUUGCAGUGAGCUGAGGUUGUGCCAUUGCACUCCAGGCUGGGUGACAAGAGAGAAACUUUGUCUCAAAAUGAAACAAAAAAACAGUGUAUCUAAUGGGACACUAUUUUCCUAAAGGAUAUGUAAUAGGCAAUGUUAUAAACAUUUAUAUAGCAUUUAUCAUGCACCAAGCAUUGUUUAAACAUUCCAUAAGUAGUACAACAAUUCUGUGUCAUGGGCUCUAUUUUAAUCCUUGUUUACCAAAAAGGAAACCGGAGCACAAAGAAAUUAGGAAACUUUUGCAAAGUUCACCGUGAGUGGUGGAGCUGGGAUUUAAAUCUAGGCAGGCUGAGCCCAAAGCUGUGUCAUUAACCACCCUCCCAGCUGCCUCUGUCUGUGUCAGUGCACAGGAGAGGACCCGUGAGUGUAUACACCAAAGAAGCUGCUGUAUUGUCUGUGGAAAGGAAGGAACUGUAGUAAUUUUUAUGUCUUUUUACUUGUAUGGGUUUCUGACUUUUCUAUAGUAAGUUUGUAAUGCUAUUCCAAUUAAAAACACUAAAAACUGGAUUUUGAAAACCAAAGCACUUCUCCUUAGCUUAUUGUGUAAGACUUGCUUUCAGCUAGUGGGAAAAUCAAGAGACUUGGCUACUAGUCCCAGCUCUGUUACUCAAGGCAUGUGGAUAAGCGCUGAAUAAAAUUUGUAUUCACUGAGCAUCUA